CCAGCUCGGGACGAACUGGACAGACCGUCCCUGUCCCUUCUGCGCGGGCUGCUGGGGACGCCAGGGGCAGACACAGCUGAUGGGCUCGGGAAAGCAGAUGCCGGCAUCAACGUGCGUAACCCAAGAGGAAACACGAGAAAGGCUUUCUCCGGACAAGACCCCGACAUUUUACUGAAUCGACUUCUGGCCCGAGUCAGGGAGCAGCACGAGAAGCGUGGGCACCCCUCUGAGUGCUUCUGGAAAUACUGCGUCUGAAGUGAGGACCACCUACUUGUCAACUCAAAACCAACCGUCUUAGAAAUUAACAGCAGACACGCUUCAUCUGAAAAGAGCCCAGAAGAAACGCUAGGCAAACUCUGCCCUGUUCGUUGUCAUUCGGAAAAUAAAUCCUCUAUGUUU